CCCUUUCCUUCCUGUUGCUGGGAUUGAGACGUAAUGGCUGGAAGUCAGCAGCCGUCUUGCACCACAGAUGAACCUGGAAGUAGAAACCAUACAGCGUAGAUCAAGAAGAUGGGAGGGCCCAGGUCCUGCACACAGUCCUGAAAUGACCACCUGUGAAUUUCUUGAAGGGAAAACCUCAGAAGGGGCUGCGGGCUCAGCCGUGGUGACCCAGGAAAACUUCCCUGAGGAGGUGGCCUGAUGGCCCAGUGGUCGGGGUGGCGUGGCCAGCGUGGCCUGCUGGCUCUGGCCACCGGAUGCAAUGCUGUGCUGAGCACUGAGAGCGGACACUCCCAGCAUCUCCGUGGAGAACUCCGGUUCCCCCACGGACUGCGUUCAGCUCCCAGCAGACAGGCGUUGAGCGGCCUGGGCACAGGACGGGAGGGGAGGAUGCCCAGCCAGCCGGGCAGGAGGCUGGCAUUGGGGACCAUCCGGGCUUCCACGGGCUUGGUGCCAGCUGAAUGCUUCGCAUCCCUGCACCACAGAUGCGGGAAGCGCUGAUGCCCCAUUCGUUUCAGGUGAGAGGAAAGAGGCUUUGGGCUGGACCUUCCACCAGGGCGCCCGGCCUGGGGGUCUCAGGUGGGAGCUGACACCCUGCCUGGCCUCGGCUCACCCCUGAGGGCUGGUGAGUUUGCCUUCAGAAGGUGAAGCAGGGAGGCCGUGAGGCACCGCUUGGGGCCAUACACCCUUCCCACAGCAGGGGCCUCGCUCGCAGUACCCCCAGGUCUCUCCUGGAGACUUGAACGUCAGAGAGAGGGGCAUCUGGACCCCAGCAGGGUCUCCAUCACACACUGACUGCACCUCGUCUGCUGCUGGGGCCGAAUGCUGACGGGCCAUGUGGACACUCGCCCCCAGUCCAUGCCGGAGAAACAAGCCGACGCAUCACCCUCCCCUGUGAGCCAACCUGCAGGGCAACCAGGGAGCGGAGGCAGCUCAGAAGGCUGUCAGUAGGAGAACGGAGCCAUGAGUUGUGGAAAAUCCACACAGUGCCGCUCUAGGAGCAGUUAAAGAACCCUGAGACCCUUAGUAAGACUGGGCAAAGAAGGCGGACAUGAGGCAAUUCCUACUGUGUGUGGUGCAUUUACAUGAAGUUCAGGGACGGGGGGUAUGAGUGCUGGGAGCACGGGAACGACACGUCUUGUUCUGGGCAGUGUGUGUAUAUUUGUGUAUGGAGGUUACAUGUAAGGGACGAGGUGCCUCUCCCUGACGGCCACGGCCUGGCCCUGGGUGCCUGGCGGCCCCACCCCACCCCUCCAAGGCCCUGUCGGCCAGGUCACUGGACCCGCAGAGCCUGGACAGGAAUCUAUACUUCAGUUGUCCCCUGGGAACUUGGGGGAAAAGCCAGCGGUGGGUGCAUUCCUGGCGAUGCCAGGAUGCCCUCCCGCCCGAAGCUUUGUGACAGCUCCCGGAGGCCUGGGGCCCCUGUGGGGACACUCGCGCCCUCGUCCCCCACUCACCUGUAGCAACAGUACCAGGAGGUGUUGAGCGGAAGGUCCGGGAAACUGCCCAGACAUGACACUCCCCGCCCCACUCUGCUCCAGGGAUGGACUCAGGAGCCCAGUCAACACUCCCUGGAGUCCUGCCCUUGGGAAGGGGCCUGUUCUCAUAACAGCAGGGGCUGCCGAAUGGUCUCCGCGGUGAGUUACCACCAGCAUCGCCUCACGGAACUGCCUCCUCCGUGUGUGGCGAGAACAUUUAAGAUCGACUCUCUCAGCGGCUUUCCGGGGGUGCAUGCAGCUCUUUACCCAGAGGUAGGACUGCUGGAUCUUAUGGUAUUUCUGUGUAUUUCUUGAGG